rnacentral:lncRNA from 1 species
GAAAAGUCUUGCAUCUCACUCAUCGCAAUAUCUGCGGCGCUGCUCGUGGCAACGUCAUUUCGCUGGGUGUACCUUUAACAUAUUGUAACGAAACAGCAGGGAGCAAGUCUCGAACCCUCAACCUUCUAGCCCGAAGUCCAGCGCGCUAUCGACUGUGCCCCAAAAGCAUGCUCGAGUGGCGGAGUCGAUACCCGGGGUUAUAAACCCAGGGUCGUUACAAUAUUACCAGUGUCCAGGUAUGGCAUCUCUCCUGGACCAGGCUAGCCUGAUAAAGACAGCUGCUAUAGAGAAGGUGGUGGCCCCCAUCGCAGUCCACCUGGUCCACUUGGUCCUGCUGUGUGAGAGGGCAGAGGGGCUGGAGGGACCAGAGCAGUUCACCCAGCUAGAGGGAGAAGCACAGGCUGUGGCCAGAGCCACCAAGAACAUGGCCAUCGUUGCCUACAGACGUUCAGAAGCCACAGAUGAUGAGGUAAUGAGGACAGAGAUGUCAUCCCUAGUGGAGCCGAUGACUGUGUCUGGACAGCAUGUCCUCCUGGCAGCCCAGAAACUCAGUAUCCAGCCCAGCCUUGCCGAGCACAGAGAGGAGCUUAUCACUGCAACACAGAAUGUUCUGCUAGGAGUGGUCAAAAUACUUUCAGUGGAAGAUGAUGCAACAGUGAGAAAGGUCGUAGUGGCUGCAGACUGGGUGUUGGACUGCCUAUCCUCUCUAGCUUCCUCCCUGGACAUCCUGUCUCUACUGAAGGCCUUCCAUCGGUUCACUGAGGCCCUGGUUCUCCUGAACAACCUGGUAGUGGAGCGGGCUGAAGCCCUGCAGGAUCCUAGGCAGACGGAGCACUUGCACAACUCUUUGGACUCCUUGAGGAAAUGCAUCUCUAUGCUUCACACGGCUAUGGUCACCACUAUCAAACACCCAACCAGUGAGCAGGCCCAAGUCGCCAAAACGUACAUUCUGGACAAGGUGAAAAGCACUGUGAAAGACAUUGUAACUACACUCGAGAGUGAUUGCCGUAGAGGUGGUGUUGCCUUAGGUCCGUGUGGGUAUUACAUUGACAGGCGUGAUGGUUUGAUAAGGCUCCUGGCCAGUUCUUCCUCCUCUUCCUCGAUCAGUAACGUUGACAGCCUCUUAAGAGAUCUUGUGUUCCACUGCAUGGUGGUGGCCAACUCCUCACAAAGGGAGCUUCAGCACUGUGUGGUGGAUCAUUGCCGACAUGUCCUACAUCUCUGGUCAGAAAUGUCCAGGCUUGUAAAGCUUCCAGAGAAUCCUGAUGAUGAUAACCUGAACCAGCAUUUACAGAGUAUCUGUUUUUCACUGAUGCAGCAAAUCCAGAAUCUUGACAGUGCUAUGAUGACUGCAGUUCUCUAUCAAGUUCUGGACACGUUUGUUACAGGGUCAAGUCCACUCGAAGAUCUGGUGAAUAUGGUUGGACAAGUCUUGGAGAAUGAUUCAGUUGAAGAGUUGCCGGUAGAUCCAGUUUCUAUCCAUGUAUUGCUCAUGGAUCUUCUCUCACAGGCUGAUAGGAUGAUUCAGGUUGCAAGUUUCAUCUCGGCUUUCGCCACGGAUUCUAAGAGUCUAGAAAAUGUGGAGAACUCAAGGGCAUGCCUCACUCGUCUGAAGGCUGAGAUCGAACCUCUCGCACUGGAGUUGGAUAAAGACGGAUCAGACUUGGAGAACUGCUUUGAGGCCGUGCAGAAACUCCAUGAUCUGUGUGAGAGAUGGGAAGAGGAGACCGGUCAGCUGCAGGAUGCUCUUUGUGACAUCAUCGAUGUUAGAGAAUUCACUAGCUUGGCAGUUCACGAGAUGGCUAACGACCAGUGUGGAUGCGACGCAGCGUAUAAAGCCCAGAACCACAAACUGUUCAGAAAGCAUGCUGAUGACCUUAUCUCCCACACAAAACAGGUGGCUCACUCUGUUAGAAGACACGUAGACAAGAGUGACAACCCCAUCUACCGCAAUGGGCUCCUAGUUCUGUUGAAACAGGUUGAAGCGUCACAGGCCAAAGUGGUCGGAUCUGUCAGAGACAUGUGCUCUGGUUCCAGUCUUGAUGUGAAUCUAUACUCUGUCUUUUCAGAUCACACAUUUGUGGUGAUCCAGCACUUUAGAGUGUUAAGAGAAGGGCUGGAUGGACAGCAACAUCCACACCUCCUCAGUCCACUGCGAGAGGAUGCACGCCAGAGCAUAGUCUCAUCCUCAGUCCAAGCAACCAAUCAGAUUCAAGGAUCAGCUAUGGAUCAGGAAAUAAGAGACCUUGGCCUUCAGUUUCCUGUUCUAGAUGUUUCAGAAAGGGAUUCACCAGUUGAAUGUAAAGUUGAGUUCUCAGAAAAAGAAAUUAGAGAGCCUAUGAUGGCAGACAAUGACUUCAAUGAUGAUUUAAAGUGGCCAGCUGUUUCAGGUGAAGCGAAUCCAAUCCCAAAGCCUCUUGAUUUCGACCUUUUGCCCCUCUUGUAUGAGGUUGUGACUGUGACUAAAGAAAAAGAUGUAACGGUCCUCAGCAAAGCCUGUACAGGAGUUCUCAAGCUUUCAAAUUGUUACGCUCAGGCUGCGAAAGAAGCUUCAACUAUUGUUGACGCUGUCGAUAGUCAGACAUUGGAUAUCUUCAGAUCAGAGUUAGUGGCCCUGACGCCUCAGUUAGUCCAGACAGCUCAGGAGACUGUGAUGAGCUUAGCUAUGAGCACGGACAGUCUCUACAAACACAGUUUACUGUUCUCUGACCUGAUCAACAACAUCAGGAAAGUCCUCUUACCAGCUGCUGGAACCUGGUACCACGCCGUUUAUUCACUGUUUCAAGGUCGUCCACGAAACAUGGCCGCCACUGCUAUUUCUCAGGAACUCAGCAAAGUCAUGAGUUUGUGUGCCGAUGUGGUGCAGCUGUUGACGUCGUCUGAUAUAACGCCACCAAGUGACUGUCAGGAGAGCUUUACAGUUUUGCACAGCAAGCUGAACAAAGCCCAUAACAACACAAGACAGCUGACAGAACUUGCUAGCUCAUCAACAUCAGGUCAGGCAGAUCAACUUGAGGGGCCUUGUAUUCUGUGGGCACUGUCAGUCCAAGUUUUACUGAAUUCUUUGGAUAAGAUUUUAGGAACAAGGGAAACGUUGAUGAGACAGUUGACCCCUCAGAAAGGGUUGGCAGCCAUGUCCGAGAACUCACUGCGAAUCCAAGAGGCAGCGAGACUGACUAGCGUGAAUUGUAAAAGCACCUACAAAGUGAAAACAUUGACACAACUUCAGGAGGAAUUAAAGGCUCUCACUGAGGAAUACUUACAGGUAGCUGAAGACCUCUGCAUUGUAUCUCUCUCAGGCGUCCUCCAGUUUGCCAGGUCAGAACUUCUACAAAGACAGCUUCUGAUUAAAAUGAGGGUGCUAUCCGGCCACUUGAACAAAGCAAAUAAGGACUAUGCCACCGCAAUUCAAAACGUCGUAAACAUUGCUUAUACGGCUUCCAAGCACCACAAAGAUGAUAAGACAUCCAAGGAGGCCCAAGAAACAUUUGAGACUGCUGCAGAGUUGCUUUUCGAGAACGCCAAAGCUGCUACCAAGAGCGUUGAAGACUGUUUCAACUACAUUCGCAACCCUCGUGCCCGGAUUAACCUGAGGUCCAUCAACGAUCAUCUGUCCUUCCAGAUCUCGGAUAUAGUGAGCCGAGCCAGGCUGGUAGUGGAGACCCACUGUAUCUUCGACACUCUCAGUCUGGAGAUACAGAUACAGUGCUGGUCGGCCAAGGCUCGCUUUUUAGCCGAGGAGAUCUAUAAAGUGGAUGGGCUAAGCCAGGAGGCUAAGGAACACGUCAAGGUUGGUCUGCAGGGUGGAACACCAGGAGAUUCCAAAGAAGGGAUGACUGAGAGCAAUCUUUCUCCUACUCUGAAGAAGCUUGAAUACCAACCAGACAUUGCACCCUGGCAGACAACCAAUCCAGAGAAUAUAAAUACCACAGAACAGAAUUCCAGUAUCUGUGGUGCAACGCCCAAAUAUGAACCUGCGAUGGCAACAAAACAAUAUGAUGCCCCAAGGUCUGCAUUCUUCAGAGACACCCUAUCCCUGACUUACACCCCUUCCCUCACCUACACCACAAUCACCCCAUCUCUUACCUACACCGCCUUGUUCCUCAAACAAGAGACAGACAGGUGGGACGCUCGGAGCAACCGUAUCGUUCAGGUUACCAGGGAGAUUGCAGACCAGAUCUACCACAUGGCCCAGUACCUGAGGAGGAAAGGGCCCAUACUGAGCAAAGAGAUGUUUGUCAGCACAGCAAAAGGCGUGGUCUCGAAUUGCCAAUACAUCACCCACUUUGUGAAGGUCAUAUCAAACCACUGUCUGGACAAACAGUGUACUGCUGAACUGUCUCUCAGAGUGGAACAGAUUCUCACCAUCACCAACCAACUCACUAUCAUCUCCAGUGUUAAUGCAUUGACCCCUGGAAGCAAGUCUUCAGAUGAGAUCCUUGUGAAGAAUGCCCAGAACCUGCUUCAGAUAGUUCUGCAUGGGGUCAGAGCAGCAGAGACAGCCUGCAUCAAGGGAUUGAAACAGCCGGAGCCCAACUCAGAUGGGGUGGAGGCAGCAGCGCUCUGUUUCCAGUGGAAGAGGAACCUACAAAUGCACCGAGCCCAGCAGAACUGUAACUCAGACACGGAUGAUCUUGGCCUGAGGAGAACCUCCCAGCACAGAGAAUCCCCCAGCCUGGCCCCUCCUAUACACAUACAAAAGCAGGGAUUCAAGUGAACGUGUCAAACCCCAUGGACUGGACACCAGGAACUACUUGUUGCUACCAUGUAAACAUAUGGAUCAUGUCCACGGGACACACAACUUUGGGGAAAUGUAAUGAAAUAAGUGUCAGCACUUUGUUCCUAUGACAACAGUUUUGUGACCACAUUUCAUAAAAUACUAGAUAUGUUAGCAAGCACAUGAUGUGCAAUGCAUUACACUUCACAUAAAUGUUUGGCUGUAAAGGCUAUUUUGAAAAUAAUACCAAAAAGUUUAAUAUCAAGAAAUGUGUAUUUGAAAUAUUUUGGACAUCAGAGCAAUCUUGAGGGAAUCGUAUUUGUGUCAGAAAAGGAUGUUCAUAUGAUAGGUAAGAUAUACAAAACCUUGCAGAGAGCCUAUCCAACUGACAAUCUCUGACAAAAAAUAUAUAAACUAUUGGAACCAAGACUUAAAAAUAACUGCUAUUGGUAUAAGAUUGAGGGAAUGUUG